rnacentral:lncRNA from 1 species
CUACACGAUGUGUAUUUCAAUCAAAACUCAGAACGACAACCAACGGCUCAUAUCGUAUCUUGUGUUAAGAACAAACUCGUUGAACUGCAUCAACAGGAAUGGCUAAAAGCACUGGAAGAUAUGCCUAAAUUACGAACAUAUAAAAACAUUAAAGCUGACUACAAUGUAGAGCCAUACUUGAAAAAGUGUUUAUCAAGACAACAACGAUCAGUGAUAGCCCGGAUGCGAAGCGGAACUUUACAUUUAGAAAUCGAAAAGGGCAGAUUUCGUAAUGUGCCACUUGACCAACGCCUUUGUAAAAUGUGCAAGUCUCAAUCAAUAGAGGACGAAUCCCAUCUCUUGCUGUUUUGUGAACGCUAUGAACAAUUACGAACAACAUUAUUUAAUGAUAUCCGAGAUAAGUACAACAUAGACUUAAC